UACGGGGGGGGCAAGCGUUGUUCGGAAUUACUGGGCGUAAAGGGCUCGUAGGCGGCCAACUAAGUCAGACGUGAAAUCCCUCGGCUUAACCGGGGAACUGCGUCUGAUACUGGAUGGCUGGAGUUUGGGAGAGGGAUGCGGAAUUCCAGGUGUAGCGGUGAAAUGCGUAGAUAUCUGGAGGAACACCGGUGGCGAAGGCGGCAUCCUGGACCAAUUCUGACGCUGAGUGAGCGAAAGCCAGGGGAGCAAACGGG
rnacentral:rRNA from 1 species